AAUCUGGGCCAACCGCAAAGAGGCGGGGCCAAAAAGCAGUGGGCUCCCAAAGUUGCCAAAGUUCAAGGAAUUUGCAACAGGUACACAACUUUCCGAGAACAAUGCAAAGCUGAAAUUCGAAAGGCAAAUUUCAAAGUUGCAUUUCUCCGGGAAUUAAAAUAUACCUCCAGUAACGUUACAGACUGUAGUCUCCUCCCCUAAAUUGUUAUCGUCUACGGCAACUAGAAUAUGCCAAAAAGCUCUCGAAACUCUCUGGUUUAUUUUCGAAUUCCAGAAUUCCUGUUCCAUAGAAUAGUGGUUCCCAAACUCGCUCCUGGGCCCCUAGUCGUAUGCUGGUUUUAAGUCCAACCACAAUAGCAAUCCCAGAAUUUUAACAAGAUGUUAAUUUUUCUUUAUUAUGUGACUUUUCUUGUUUAGAAGGUACUCUCUUAAAUCACAUUAUAUCAGAAAUAUGUAUGCAUGUCAUGAAGAAUAACAUUGUUCAUAUUAUGUUAUAAUCAAAUCUGCCUUCUUAAUGUUCAUUUCACGGUACUGCCAUUACCUCUAGCUAUCCAGCCAUGCUACGUGAGGUACUCAGAGUGAGUGGGCAGGUUGAACAGCAGGAGGAGACUUAUUUGAUUAUAAACAAAGGACUACAACAAGUCUAAAAUAUCCUGUAUUGUACGCCUUUAAAUUUGAUCCAUGAUUAAAUAUAAUAAGGAUUUUUCAAAACGAUUUCAAAAACUCUGGAGAUGGCUGAGUGUGCCAAACAGUUUUUGUGAUGAAAGAAAAACCACCACUGUAACCAUAUCCACACCAAGUCUCUUGAAUGUGACCAGUGGUGCGUUUCCUCUGGUAUAUCAGUAGUUUCCCUCUUCUAAUAAGUCCUACACACUAAAGCUGUGCAAUACAGAAAAGGUGUGUUUUGGUUUCUACUGCUGUAUCUAUAAUGCGACCAGGAUGAACUUUUGUCUCCUGAUUGUAGCUGCUGGAGUUUUUUCUACUUAGAUGAAUCCUGUAGCUAGCAGGCACUUUAAUCGCUGCUUAAUGUCACAGUGCUAUGACAUUAAUUUUCAUGUCCAGAUAACUAAUUAUUCCACCCUCACCCUGUCCCACUUCCUCCCUUAUGACCUCCAGUUGUGACAGACAGUGACAUACUGGCAAAACAUACCAAGCCAUUACCUCCAGGAUAGAGGGAUGGAAACAGAGGCUCAUAUGGGGAAAGGUGAUGUUUCUGCUUGCAUCUUAUAGGUAUUCUCAGCAGAAACAGCAGGACAUCAGACUUAACACCUCAUUUCUUAGCACUGAAUGCUGACCCAUGCACUGGCCAGUAAAGGAGAAUCCUAAUUUUAAAGAAUUGUACAUUUAUAUUUGUCAUUCCUCAUUUUGAGCCUCAGAAAGCACAGGUCAGAAUAAAAUACUAUCAAAAUUCA